CAGUCGCCGCGGUAAAACGUAGGGUGCAAGCGUUAAUCGGAAUUACUGGGCGUAAAGCGUGCGCAGGCGGUGUUGUAAGACUGAUGUGAAAUCCCCGGGCUCAACCUGGGAACUGCAUUGGUGACUGCAACGCUGGAGUGCGGCAGAGGGGGAUGGAAUUCCGCGUGUAGCAGUGAAAUGCGUAGAUAUGCGGAGGAACACCGAUGGCGAAGGCAGCCCCCUGGGCCAAUACUGACGCUCAUGCACGAAAGCGUGGGGAGCAAACAGGAUUAGAUACCCCAGUAGUCCCUGUCUCUUAUAA
rnacentral:rRNA from 1 species